UGGGGAAUUUUGGACAAUGGGCGCAAGCCUGAUCCAGCAAAGCCGCGUGCAGGAUGAAGGCCUUCGGGUUGUAAACUGCUUUUGUACGGAACGAAACGGCUCUGGUUAAUACCUGGGGCUAAUGACGGUACCGUAAGAAUAAGCACCGGCUAACUACGUGCCAGCAGCCGCGGUAAUACGUAGGGUGCGAGCGUUAAUCGGAAUUACUGGGCGUAAAGCGUGCGCAGGCGGUGAUGUAAGACAGAUGUGAAAUCCCCGGGCUCAACCUGGGACCUGCAUUUGUGACUGCAUCGCUGGAGUGCGGCAGAGGGGGAUGGAAUUCCGCGUGUAGCAGUGAAAUGCGUAGAUAUGCGGAGGAACACCGAUGGCGAAGGCAAUCCCCUGGGCCUGCACUGACGCUCAUGCACGAAAGCGUGGGGAGCAAACA
rnacentral:rRNA from 1 species